AUGAUACCGUUCCAUUUUAGAGGAAGAAUCGUAGGCUUCCCCAUGACUUACUUAGGCUUACCUAUCACCAUCUCUAGGUUGCGGCUAGUCCAUCUUUAGUUCAUCCUGGAUCGGAUCCGUGCGCGCCUUGCUGGCUGGAAGGGCCGCCUGCUAUCCACUGUCGGCCGGAGGGUUCUGGUUCGAUGUGUCUUGACAGGCUUGCCAACAUAUGCGAUCACCAUUCUCAGGGCACCAAUCAAGUUCUUCAAAGAUAUAGACAAGGUUCGUCGGUGUUUUCUCUGGGCAGGAGAUCAGGAGAUAGUCGGGAGAAAUGCAAGGUGA
rnacentral:rRNA from 1 species